rnacentral:rRNA from 1 species
AUGAACGCUGGCGGCGUGCCUCAUACAUGCCAGUCGCGCGAACAGACGAGGAGCUUGCUCCUCUGACGUUAGCGGCGGACGGGUGAGUAACACGUGGAUAACCUACCUAUAAGACUGGGAUAACUUCGGGAAACCGGAGCUAAUACCGGAUAAUAUAUUGAACCGCAUGGUUCAAUAGUGAAAGACGGUUUUGCUGUCACUUAUAGAUGGAUCCGCGCCGCAUUAGCUAGUUGGUAAGGUAACGGCUUACCAAGGCAACGAUGCGUAGCCGACCUGAGAGGGUGAUCGGCCACACUGGAACUGAGACACGGUCCAGACUCCUACGGGAGGCAGCAGUAGGGAAUCUUCCGCAGUGGGCGAAAGCUUGACGGAGCAACGCCGCGUGAGUGAUGAAGGUCUUCGGAUCGUAAAACUCUGUUAUUAGGGAAGAACAAAUGUGUAAGUAACUAUGCACGUCUUGACGGUACCUAAUCAGAAAGCCACGGCUAACUACGUG